UCUGGUUGAUCCUGCCAGAGGUUACUGCUAUCGGUGUUCGCCUAAGCCAUGCGAGUCAUAUGUAGCAAUACAUGGCGUACUGCUCAGUAACACGUGGAUAACCUGCCCUUGGGACCUGCAUAACCCCGGGAAACUGGGGAUAAUUCGGGAUAACGCAUAUGUGCUGGAAUGCUUUAUGCGUAAAAAGGAUUCGUCCGCCCAAGGAUGGGUCUGCGGCCUAUCAGGUAGUAGUGGGUGUAAUGUACCUACUAGCCGACAACGGGUACGGGUUGUGAGAGCAAGAGCCCGGAGAUGGAUUCUGAGACAUGAAUCCAGGCCCUACGGGGCGCAGCAGGCGCGAAAACUUUACAAUGCGGGAAACCGUGAUAAGGGGACACCGAGUGCCAGCAUCAUAUGUUGGCUGUCCAGAUGUGUAAAAUACAUCUGUUAGCAAGGGCCGGGCAAGACCGGUGCCAGCCGCCGCGGUAACACCGGCGGCCCGAGUGGUGAUCGUGAUUAUUGGGUCUAAAGGGUCCGUAGCCGGUUUGGUCAGUCCUCCGGGAAAUCUGACGGCUCAACCGUUAGGCUUUCGGUGGAUACUGCCAGACUUGGAACCGGGAGAGGUAAGAGGUACUACAGGGGUAGGAGUGAAAUCUUGUAAUCCCUGUGAGACCACCUGUGGCGAAGGCGUCUUACCAGAACGGGUUCGACGGUGAGGGACGAAAGCUGGGGGCACGAACCGGAUUAGAUACCCGGGUAGUCCCAGCCGUAAACGAUGCUCGCUAGGUGUCAGGCAUGGCGCGACCGUGUCUGGUGCCGCAGGGAAGCCGUGAAGCGAGCCACCUGGGAAGUACGGCCGCAAGGCUGAAACUUAAAGGAAUUGGCGGGGGAGCACAACAACGGGUGGAGCCUGCGGUUUAAUUGGACUCAACGCCGGACAACUCACCGGGGACGACAGCAAUAUGUAGGCCAGGCUAAAGACCUUGCCUGAAUCGCUGAGAGGAGGUGCAUGGCCGUCGCCAGUUCGUACUGUGAAGCAUCCUGUUAAGUCAGGCAACGAGCGAGACCC
rnacentral:rRNA from 1 species